rfam:Chlorocebus sabaeus isolate 1994-021 chromosome 16, whole genome shotgun sequence.
ACCAGUUGUGGUGACAGGCACCUGUAAUCCCAGCUACUUAGGAGGCUGAGGCAGGAGAAUGGCGUGAACCCGAGAGGCGGAGCUUGCAGUGAGCCGAGAUCGUGCCACUGCACUCCUGCCUGGGUGANNNNNNNNNNGUUUUGAGACAGAGUCUCACUGUCACCCAGGCAGGAGUGCAGUGGCACGAUCUCGGCUCACUGCAAGCUCCGCCUCUCGGGUUCACGCCAUUCUCCUGCCUCAG